rnacentral:rRNA from 1 species
AACAAACGCUGGCGGCGUGCCUAAUACAUGCAAGUCGAACGGGGAAAGCUUUCGGGUGAGUACUAGUGGCGCACGGGUGCGUAACGCGUGGGAAUCUGCCCCUUGCUUCGGAAUAACAGUUAGAGAUGACUGCUAAUACCGGAUGAUGUCUUCGGACCAAAGAUUUAUCGGCAAGGGAUGAGCCCGCGUAGGAUUAGGUAGUUGGUGGGGUAAAGGCCUACCAAGCCGACGAUCCUUAGCUGGUCUGAGAGGAUGAUCAGCCACACUGGGACUGAGACACGGCCCAGACUCCUACGGGAGGCAGCAGUGGGGAAUAUUGGACAAUGGGCGAAAGCCUGAUCCAGCAAUGCCGCGUGAGUGAUGAAGGCCUUAGGGUUGUAAAGCUCUUUUACCAGGGAAGAUAAUGACGGUACCUGCAGAAAAAGCCCCGGCUAACUUCGUGCCAGCCGCCGCCGUAACAC